AUGGCUCAGGAUGAACGCUAGCUACAGGCUUAACACAUGCAAGUCGAGGGGCAGCAUUUUAGUUUGCUUGCAAACUAAAGAUGGCGACCGGCGCACGGGUGAGUAACACGUAUCCAACCUGCCGAUAACUCGGGGAUAGCCUUUCGAAAGAAAGAUUAAUAUCCGAUGGUAUAUUAAAACCGCAUGGUUUUACUAUUAAAGAAUUUCGGUUAUUGAUGGGGAUGCGUUCCAUUAGUUUGUUGGCGGGGUAACGGCCCACCAAGACUACGAUGGAUAGGGGUUCUGAGAGGAAGGUCCCCCACAUUGGAACUGAGACACGGUCCAAACUCCUACGGGAGGCAGCAGUGAGGAAUGUUGGUCAAUGGACGAGAGUCUGAACCAGCCAAGUAGCGUGAAGGAUGACUGCCCUAUGGGUUGUAAACUUCUUUUAUAUGGGAAUAAAGUAUUCCACGUGUGGGAUUUUGUAUGUACCAUAUGAAUAAGGAUCGGCUAACUCCGUGCCAGCAGCCGCGGUAAUACGGAGGAUCCGAGCGUUAUCCGGAUUUAUUGGGUUUAAAGGGAGCGUAGGUGGAUUGUUAAGUCAGUUGUGAAAGUUUGCGGCUCAACCGUAAAAUUGCAGUUGAAACUGGCAGUCUUGAGUACAGUAGAGGUGGGCGGAAUUCGUGGUGUAGCGGUGAAAUGCUUAGAUAUCACGAAGAACUCCGAUUGCGAAGGCAGCUCACUAGACUGCAACUGACACUGAUGCUCGAAAGUGUGGGUAUCAAACAGGAUUAGAUACCCUGGUAGUCCACACAGUAAACGAUGAAUACCCGCUGUUUGCGAUAUACAGUAAGCGGCCAAGCGAAAGCAUUAAGUAUUCCACCUGGGGAGUACGCCGGCAACGGUGAAACUCAAAGGAAUUGACGGGGGCCCGCACAAGCGGAGGAACAUGUGGUUUAAUUCGAUGAUACGCGAGGAACCUUACCCGGGCUUAAAUUGCAUUUGAAUAAUCUGGAAACAGGUUAGCCGCAAGGCAAAUGUGAAGGUGCUGCAUGGUUGUCGUCAGCUCGUGCCGUGAGGUGUCGGCUUAAGUGCCAUAACGAGCGCAACCCUUAUCUUUAGUUACUAACAGGUCAUGCUGAGGACUCUAGAGAGACUGCCGUCGUAAGAUGUGAGGAAGGUGGGGAUGACGUCAAAUCAGCACGGCCCUUACGUCCGGGGCUACACACGUGUUACAAUGGGGGGUACAGAAGGCAGCUACCUGGCGACAGGAUGCUAAUCCCAAAAACCUCUCUCAGUUCGGAUCGAAGUCUGCAACCCGACUUCGUGAAGCUGGAUUCGCUAGUAAUCGCGCAUCAGCCGUGGCGCGGUGAAUACGUUCCCGGGCCUUGUACACACCGCCCGUCAAGCCAUGAAAGCCGGGGGUACCUGAAGUACGUAACCGCAAGGAGCGUCCUAGGGUAAAACUGGUA
rnacentral:rRNA from 1 species